rnacentral:rRNA from 1 species
AUUGAACGCUGGCGGCAUGCCUUACACAUGCAAGUCGAACGGUAACGCGGGGCAACCUGGCGACGAGUGGCGAACGGGUGAGUAAUGCAUCGGAACGUGCCCAGUAGUGGGGGAUAGCCCGGCGAAAGCCGGAUUAAUACCGCAUACGACCUACGGGUGAAAGCGGGGGAUCGCAAGACCUCGCGCUAUUGGAGCGGCCGAUGUCAGAUUAGGUUGUUGGUGGGGUAAAGGCCUACCAAGCCUACGAUCUGUAGCUGGUCUGAGAGACGACCAGCCACACUGGAACUGAGACACGGUCCAGACUCCUACGGGAGGCAGCAGUGGGGAAUUUUGGACAAUGGGCGCAAGCCUGAUCCAGCAAUGCCGCGUGCAGGAUGAAGGCCUUCGGGUUGUAAACUGCUUUUGUACGGAGCGAAAAGGCUCUCUCUAAUACAGGGGGCUCAUGACGGUACCGUAAGAAUAAGCACCGGCUAACUACGUGCCAGCCGCCGCGGUAACAC